UACGGAGGGGGCUAGCGUUGUUCGGAAUUACUGGGCGUAAAGCGUACGUAGGCGGCUUUGUAAGUUAGAGGUGAAAGCCCGGGGCUCAACUCCGGAAUUGCCUUUAAGACUGCAUCGCUUGAAUCAUGGAGAGGUGAGUGGAAUUCCGAGUGUAGAGGUGAAAUUCGUAGAUAUCGGAAAGAACACCAGUGGCGAAGGCGACUCACUGGACAUGUAAUUGACGGCUGAGGUACGGAAAGCGUGGGGAGCAAACAGG
rnacentral:rRNA from 1 species